rnacentral:rRNA from 1 species
UACGGAGGGUGCAAGCGUUGUCCGGAAUCACUGGGCGUAAAGGGCGCGUAGGCGGCUCAUGAAGGCUGUGGUGAAAGUCCGGGGCUCAACCUCGGAUCGGCCGUGGCGACUCGUGGGCUGGAGCACUGUAGAGGCGGGUGGAAUUCCGGGUGUAGCGGUGGAAUGCGUAGAGAUCCGGAAGAACACCAGUGGCGAAGGCGGCUAUCUGGGCUGAAACUGACGCUGAGGCGCGAAGGCUAGGGGAGCAAACAGG